GGGCUAUUGUGAUGAAAAAUGCAACGGGGAAUUACCAAACCAGCAGGCACCAGAAUAUAUCGCUAGGUCUGCAUUUGACAGUUUAUGGAACAGAAGGAUAUUUCACUUUAAACCUUGGGAUGCAGGCCAUUGCCACACCUAUUCUCCAAAUGAAACAUAUCUGCCUAACCAUCCUGGGCACUUAUAUGGGUUCUUGGGAAACAAAACACUGAACCAAAGUGUCUAUGAGGUUUAUGGAUAUCAUGUCUAUUUACAUUCCUCUAAGCAUUUCUGGGCCUCUGAUGUACUAAGGGAAACUGGACAAGCAAAGCAAAUACUACUGAAUAGGGGAGAAAAUAUAAAGGUUGAGUUUGAGCGUGAAAUAGAAACCCGUCUCCCAGCAGUAUUUAACUGCAUUGAAGACAAGGAAAGGUUUUAAAUCAGGAAUCUAUAAUCUAACUUUGCAUGGGUGUCUAUUUAUUUUUUGUAUCCAAUAAACGUACAAACGACCGAACCGACCAGACCCACAUUUUGCGUGGGAACUAACUUGACCCCAAGGAAGGUUUGUUGAUGUUCAGAUUUACAAAAUUCGUUUCCAAAAACUUUUGAUUUUUGUCAAAUUUUAUAUUCUACAAAAUGUUUUAUUUUUGGUUUAGUGAAGAGAAAGUGUUGAAACCUUGAGCAAAAAUAAAAGUUGAAAUAGAAGACAUUCGCGAUAGCCAAGUAAUUUAAAAUCAAUAAAACUCAACAUUUUACUUUAGGAGUACAGCUUUACAGACUGUGUAUUUGAGUAUAUUUUUGAAAAGACAGGAUGCAAACUUGAUUGGUUUUCUGAUGAAGCUUCUGUUAAUGUUCCAUUGUGUGGUAGUGCAGAAGAUAUUAAAAAGCUGUAUGAUCUGAUGGACAACAUAUCUAAAUGGACGUUUAAAACCAUCUCAGAAAGUUCAGGUUGUUACUCACCAUGUGUUAAAGAAAACAUUAUUAUAAAGUCUAUUAAAAGAGAGAAGAUAAAUUGGGCCGUAAACUGGUAUUCGGAAUUUUUUCUUGAAUCUUAUUCAGGUCGUGUUAAGAUAACUGAAGAAAGCCUUGUGUAUGAUGGCUGGGAAUUAAUAAAUGGACUCGGCGGGCUCCUUGGUCUUAUUCUUGGAUACUCAAUUCUAUCUUUAUGUGAUUAUCGGAUCAUUUGUGUCAUCUCUUUCUUUAAACAGCAUUUAAACAUCAAUUAAACCUCUAUUAAAGGGACUGU